UAGACCACAUUAUCUUUUCGUUAUGGUGAACGGUAAUUAUAUAACUACAACAUUUAGCUCAUAGCCUGCAUUAUCUCUACAUUGCAGCGAACGAAAAAUAUAAAUAUACUAUGAGUAAUUGACUCAUAUGCUACAUUAUCUCUUCGUUGUAACAAACGAUAAAAUUAAAUAUACUAUGAGAAAUUGACUCAUAUGCUACAUUAUCUCUUCGUUGUAGCAAACAACAAUUAUAAAUAUACUAUGAGAAAUUGACUCAGUAUCUCUUCGUUGUAGCAAACGGCAACUAUGAAGCACCGACACUGACACGAACACCGGACACGGACACGUGAACACCCGUCAAACACAUCAAACUCAACCCAGACACGGGCGUCGGUGUCGUGUCAAACACCAAACAAGGCAAGGGACUGGAGUGUCCGUGCUUCAAAGAAUAACAAUCACUCAUGAACUCACAAUAAAUAGAAUAAACAAAUAAUCCAACAUUCAUUCUUAUAUAAUAUAUAUAUUUUGAAGUUUACUUGCUUCUCCUAAAAGAACUUUAAAAAAAUGUCGUUAAGUAGAUUAACUACUCACACAAAAGAACGCAAUCAAUGUCUUCCAAUGCUGUUGGGAGGAUCAACCACCGUAUUUCCCACAGGAUCUUCUAAGCAUUUAAAAUAAGAGAACAAGAGAUUAGGCAAAAUCCCCAAUACUUAGUUUCUAACCCUCUUCACACAACCCAUAACUAAACAAUGCUAUAAAUACUCAUCUAACACAAUGGGUUAUAAAUUUUUACCUUGAAGAGAUCAAAUAGAAAAAAUUUUAAGGAAAUGAGCAGCAUUAUUCUACAUACCACCAAAGAUCCCUAAUACUUAUAAAUUUUUACAUUGAAGAGAUCCCUAAAUUUUCCGUUCCCUUUUUUUUAAGUGAAACAGUGCGUUUCAUGUUCUGAACUGACAAACGACAUCCAAUUUAAGGGGACAUACUUAAAGAUCAUAUAAAAGAACAACAUAAUUCUACAUACCAAAAAUUGACCUGACUGUUCAAUAUACUCUUUCCAAUAUACUAGUAGUCCAUUGAGAAGACACAGUAACAAAGAUCAAUUCUUUAGAAACAUGUGAACAGCG
rnacentral:lncRNA from 1 species